rnacentral:piRNA from 1 species
GAUGUGAUGUGGUUUAAGCCUGUGG